rnacentral:rRNA from 1 species
AGUGAACGCUGGCGGCAGGCCUAACACAUGCAAGUCGAACGCCCCGCAAGGGGAGUGGCAGACGGGUGAGUAACGCGUGGGAAUAUUCCCUUUGGUUCAGGAUAGCCCCGGGAAACUGGGAUUAAUACUGGAUAAGAUCUACGGAUGAAAGAUUUGUCGCCGAAGGAUUAGCCCGCGUAAGAUUAGUUAGUUGGUGAGGUAAUGGCUCACCAAGACAAUGAUCUUUAGCUGGUCUGAGAGGAUGAUCAGCCACACUGGAACUGAGACACGGUCCAGACUCCUACGGGAGGCAGCAGUGAGGAAUAUUGGACAAUGGGCGCAAGCCUGAUCCAGCCAUGCCGCGUGAGUGAUGAAGGCCUUAGGGUUGUAAAACUCUUUUAGUGGGGAAAAUAAUGAUGGUACCCACAGAAAAAGCUCCGGCUAACUUCGUGCCAGCAGCCGCCGUAA